rnacentral:rRNA from 1 species
UGGGGAAUAUUGCACAAUGGGCGCAAGCCUGAUGCAGCCAUGCCGCGUGUGUGAAGAAGGCCUUCGGGUUGUAAAGCACUUUCAGCGAGGAGGAAGGUGGUGAACUUAAUACGUUCAUCAAUUGACGUUACUCGCAGAAGAAGCACCGGCUAACUCCGUGCCAGCAGCCGCGGUAAUACGGAGGGUGCAAGCGUUAAUCGGAAUUACUGGGCGUAAAGCGCACGCAAGGCGGUUUGUUAAGUCAGAUGCGAAAUCCCCGGGCUCAACCUGGGGAACUGCAUUUGAAACUGGCAAGCUAGAGUCUCGUAGAGGGGGGUAGAAUUCCAGGUGUAGCGGUGAAAUGCGUAGAGAUCUGGAGGAAUACCGGUGGCGAAGGCGGCCCCCCUGGACGAAGACUGACGCUCAGGUGCGAAAGCGUGGGGCAGCAAACAGGAUUAGAUACCCUGGUAGUCCACGCUGUAAACGAUGUCGAUUUGGAGGUUGUGCCCUUGAGGCGUGGCUUCCGGAGCUAACGCGUUAAAUCGACCGCCUGGGGGAGUACGGCCGCAAGGUUAAAAACUC